AGGGGGAGGGCAGUUUGACUUACACAUUUCCCGGGGGAGGGAGGGGGAAUUAAUGCAUUAGAAUCAUGUUUUUGCAAAGUCCCGGGGGUGUACCCCCAGGGCCAGGCCAUUGAUAUGUGCAUUAUAUACAAGUAGUAAUCGAGUUGAAAUAUUAUACAAUAGUAAUAAAUUAUAGUAUAUUUCAAUAAAUGAAUGUAUGGUACAGUACAAGUGUUUCAUUAAAAUUUUGAAAAAUGCCUCACCUGUAGUGCUUCUCAGCUUUUGUUGUUUAUUUAUUAACAUAUGGAAACAGAAUCACCAUAGUCCUCGAAAUUUCAAAAGUUUGUUUCCCAUCAUGACAAUUAUUUCAAUUUCUCGUUAAUUUAGUAAUUUAUUACUCAUUUUCUACGGCUCCACACAAAAUACUGUAGGUCUGCACCUACCGAUACUCCAAAAGCAUACAUGCGACAUGGGCAAAAAUACCACCAUUCGUUCAGCUCAUUUAUAUUAUGGGCCAUUCCAUUUAAUAUCUACACCCCCCUGUCGACGACGUCUUCCAAUUUCACACCCCUAAGAAGCAUGUUUUUAUAAGUCCCCCUCGGAAAUUCGUCAGAAUUUUGAAAGCCCUUCAGAAAUUUGAUGUUUUCUUCUAUAUUCUUAAGGAAACUAAGUGACCCCUCUGAAAUACCCCUGUCGACGACGUCACCAAUUUUUCCACCCUUCGGAAUUGUUUUUGAAUGAUUUUGUGACCCUUCGGAAAAUGUCGUCGACAGCCCUAAUUUUCGUGACCAUUCGGAAAAUGUCGUCGACAGCCCGUCCAGCUUUUCGCCUAUUUGCUGAAGGGCUCGGAAAUUUCGCUGAUUAGCGAAAACCCUU